CCAGAUUCCUACGGGAGGCAGCAGUAGGGAAUCUUCCAAAAUGGACGAAAGUCUGAUGGAGCAACGCCGCGUGAGUGAAGAAGGUUUUCGGAUCGUAAAACUCUGUUGUUGGAGAAGAAUGUAUCUGAUAGUAACUGAUCAGGUAGUGACGGUAUCCAACCAGAAAGCCACGGCUAACUACGUGCCAGCAGCCGCGGUAAUACGUAGGUGGCAAGCGUUGUCCGGAUUUAUUGGGCGUAAAGCGAGCGCAGGCGGUUUCUUAAGUCUGAUGUGAAAGCCUUCGGCUCAACCGAAGAAGUGCAUCGGAAACUGGGAAACUUGAGUGCAGAAGAGGACAGUGGAACUCCAUGUGUAGCGGUGAAAUGCGUAGAUAUAUGGAAGAACACCAGUGGCGAAGGCGGCUGUCUGGUCUGUAACUGACGCUGAGGCUCGAAAGCAUGGGUAGCAAACAGGAUUAGAUACCCUGGUAGUCCAUGCCGUAAACGAUGAGUGCUAGGUGUUGGAGGGUUUCCGCCCUUCAGUGCCGCAGCUAACGCAUUAAGCACUCCGCCUGGGGAGUACGACCGCAAGGUUGAAACUCAAAGGAAUUGACGGGGGCCCGCACAAGCGGUGGAGCAUGUGGUUUAAUUCGAAGCAACGCGAAGAACCUUACCAGGUCUUGACAUCCUUUGACCACUCUAGAGAUAGAGCUUUCCCUUCGGGGACAAAGUGACAGGUGGUGCAUGGUUGUCGUCAGCUCGUGUCGUGAGAUGUUGGGUUAAGUCCCGCAACGAGCGCAACCCUUAUUACUAGUUGCCAGCAUUUAGUUGGGCACUCUAGUGAGACUGCCGGUGACAAACCGGAGGAAGGUGGGGACGACGUCAAAUCAUCAUGCCCCUUAUGACCUGGGCUACACACGUGCUACAAUGGAUGGUACAACGAGUUGCGAGACCGCGAGGUUUAGCUAAUCUCUUAAAACCAUUCUCAGUUCGGAUUGUAGGCUGCAACUCGCCUACAUGAAGCCGGAAUCGCUAGUAAUCGCGGAUCAGCAUGCCGCGGUGAAUACGUUCCCGGGCCUUGUACACACCGCCCGUCACACCAUGAGAGUUUGUAACACCCAAAGCCGGUGAGGUAACCCUUCGGGGAGCCAGCCGUCUAAG
rnacentral:rRNA from 1 species